rnacentral:sRNA from 1 species
GGUGUAUUUGCAGCUGUACUCUCUCUGGAGGCUCUUCAGGAGAAUCUGUUCCUUGCUUUGUCAGUUCCUGAUGGCUGCUGGCAGUCCUUGACAUGUGGCUGCAUCACUCCUGUCUCUGCUGUCUCUUUGAUGGAGUGCCCAGUGAUGGAAACUGGCUCACUUUUUACCUCAGGAAUUAAGAGACAUGUGAAAGACAAAAGAAUUUCAAAGACUGCUAAGUUGAAUGUUUCUCUUGCUUCAAAAAUAAAAACAAAAAUACUAAGUAAGUGCCAUCAGUUUUAAAAUACACUCACAUUUUAACUUUUCCCCAGAAUUGUUAUAUAUUUGCUACCUUAUUUUAUCAAGUACAGAAAAUUACUAAAAUGACUAUUUUGUUAACUGUUAACUUUUUAAAUUUGAUCCUUCCUAUCUCCUUCAACUCCUGUCAGUUGGGUGGUUUUGAUGAUUUACCCUAAGUAUGACACAGCUGAAUUUUCAGCAGUGAGGCUGCAGUGACCCAAGACAGCUACUUUAUACAGCGCACAAAAAA